CAGUAGCAAUACAAUGGUAGCUCCCACAGAUGGCAAUCCUGAUAAUAAGCCCAUUAAAGAGAAUAUUGAAGAGAGCUAUGUGCACCUGGACAUUUACAGUGGACUAAACAGUCAUUUGAAUCGGCAACAUCACAGACUAGAAUCCCGAUACAGUAGCAGCUCUGGAGGAUCUUAUGAAGAAGAAAAAAGUGAUUCAAUGCCACUUUAUUCUAAUUGGCGACUGAAAGUGAUGGAGCAUAACCAAGGAGAGCCACUGCCCUUCCCACCAGCUGGAGGCUGCUGGUCACCACUGGUGGAUUACGUGCCUGAAACGUCAUCACCUGGAUUACCUCUUCACAGGUGUAACAUAGCAGUGAUCCUUUUGACUGAUCUCAUCAUUGAUCAUAGUGUGAAGGUGGAAUGGGGAAGCUACCUCCAUCUUCUUCUUCAUGCAAUUUUUAUAGGGUUUGACCACUGCCACCCUGAGGUGUAUGAACAUUGUAAACGCCUGCUUCUGCACUUAUUAAUAGUAAUGGGACCCAAUAGUAACAUCCGAACUGUUGCUUCUGUCCUUCUCAGGAACAAGGAGUUUAAUGAGCCCAGGGUGCUUACAGUCAAACAAGUUGCACACUUAGAUUAUAAUUUCACAGGUAUUUGCUUUAAAAGUACAAUUUGAAAGUAGAAUUAUACUUUAUUAAUUUGGAAUCCUGCAUUAGAGAAAGUCAACUGAAUAAAAGUUGAAAUACUAGAGAACAUUUUAAAAA
rnacentral:sRNA from 1 species